UACGGAGGGUGCGAGCGUUGUCCGGAAUCACUGGGCGUAAAGGGCGCGUAGGUGGCCUGUGGAAGUCUGCGGUGAAAGCCCGGCGCUCAACGCCGGGUCUGCCGUGGAUACUCUCGGGCUUGAGCUUACUAGAGGCAGAUGGAAUUCCGGGUGUAGCGGUGGAAUGCGUAGAGAUCCGGAAGAACACCGGUGGCGAAGGCGGUCUGCUGGGGUAAUGCUGGACACUGAUGCGCGACAGCGUGGGGAGCAAACAGG
rnacentral:rRNA from 1 species